rnacentral:rRNA from 1 species
AUGAUGGCGGCGGGACCUCGGUUGUCCUGCCUGUGCGUGGGGAACCCCGGAUCUGGAGCGGCGGCUUCAUUGGCAAGGCAUGGCCGGCUAGCAGCCGUGCGGGCGGUGGAUCUGGCGUCCCGGCCGCGCGGGCGGCGGGAUCCGGUGAUCGUUGGCGGCCGGCGGCGGUUUCUACGGUGGCCGGUGCGCGCGAUCUAG